UACGUAGGGUGCGAGCGUUAAUCGGAAUUACUGGGCGUAAAGCGUACGCAGGCGGCUUUGCAAGUCAGGUGUGAAAUCCCCGGGCCUAACCUGGGAACUGCAUUUGUGACUGCAUGGCUAGAGUUUGCCAGAGGGGGGUGGAAUUCCACGUGUAGCAGUGAAAUGCGUAGAUAUGUGGAGGAACACCGAUGGCGAAGGCAGCCCCCUGGGAUGUGACUGACGCUCAUGUACGAAAGCGUGGGGAGCAAACAGG
rnacentral:rRNA from 1 species